AAAGUUCCCGCUUUGUGAAUGUUAUUCCGCAGAUUUUUAAACCUGACGACAAAAACGCCGCAUUUGCAAACUUUUCGCGCGCGACAUUACUUUCGGAACAUGUCUUGUCCGGAGUUGAUUCCCCCGCCGACUGUUCGCGGAAUGACCGUACUGGACAAGGGUGCCUUCGACAAAAGAAUUAGUGCUCCCCGGCUGAUUGUCCCCCGCCAGCUAAACUUCCAGCAGAUAUGUUCCUCGGUGAAAAAACUGCUACUAAAGAUGGAAUGUUUCAAACCGGUAGUGUCCGGAGAAUACAAAAUAACGCUGCAUCCUUCAGCGGUGAAGACCUGGGAAGAUCUGAAGGAAAUUGGCCUGGAGGACAAGGGAUUGACCGAAGAGAAUCUUGUUUGGGAGGAGAUGAAGUUGGGGUACGAUAAUUGGCGUUACGAUGAAAUAUUGAAGGCAGUUCUGCCGGAGGACAAAGAAGCUCUAUCGGCGUUCUCCAAGGUGGGGCAUAUAGUCCACUUGAACUUAAAGGAACAUUUGUUGCCGUACAAGAAUCUAAUUGGGACGGUUAUUAAGGACAAGGUUGUUGGUUGUAGAGCCGUAGUCAACAAGCUGGUAACGAUAGAUAAUACUUACCGGAACUUCCAAAUGGAACUGCUCUGCGGAGAGGAAGAUUACCAGGUAUCGUUGAAGGAAAAUGGAUGCAUUUUUGAGUUCGACUUCUCCAAAGUGUAUUGGAACUCAAGACUUUCAACGGAGCAUGGACGAGUGGUCGAAAUGCUGAAGAAGGGGGAUGUUCUACUCGACGUUUACGCUGGUGUAGGCCCCUUUAGUAUACCCGCAGCGAAAAAGGGUUAUUCCGUUCUGGCCAACGAUCUCAACCCCGAUUCGUACAAAGCCUUGGUGCAUAAUUGCGCUAAAAAUAAAGUACAGGGACGAAUCACAUGUUUCAAUAAAAACGGGAUCGAUUUCAUCAAAGAAGAAAUCAAGCAGUUCAUAAUUUCCAAAAACCAAGACGAUACGUUUACAGGAACUAUUCACAUUACAAUGAAUCUUCCAGCAUUAGCUGUGGAGCAUUUGGAAAACUACGUUGGCUUGCUUAAAGAUGAACAAAUCGAACUCAAGCACUUCCCAUUAGUACAUGUCUACUGUUUCGCAAAGGGUGUAGAAGAUAACAAACUUCUUGCCCGAGGCUUGGUCGAGAAAAACAUGGGCAUUCCACUAGGGAACAAUUUAAAGGAAAUUGCCUUUGUGAGGAAUGUGGCUCCCAAUAAGGACAUGAUGCGAGUUAGCUUCUACCUAACCAGGCAAAUUUUGUGCCACAAUGAUAUCCAGCUUAAACGACCGACAUCGGAGACUAGUCAUCAAGAUGCUAAACGAAAAUGUCCUGCGGAAGAUUGCUACGAUGGGCAAAAGGAACAUCAAAAAUCGGAACCAACAGAAACAGACGGCCAAAAAAGUUAAGAAUGUCUUCGCCGUCAAUCAGUCGAAGAAAGGCAACGUCAAGAAAGCGAAAGAGGUGACAUCGAAGCUGAAGAAGAUCAAUGUACAGGAUAAACGCGAAAAAGCAGACAAGAAGUUCCAGGAUCUUCACGCUCACAUUGUGGCCAAAAAGCCGGAAAAGAAACCCUUGCCUGCAAAACCUGCUUCUAAGAAAAAUAAAAAUCAAGCCAACACAAAACAGGUUGAAGCGGGGCUGGAUAAGAUGCAGAUGUAGUAGCAGAACUAUCCGAUAAGUACCAGAUUUUUCCUAUACUGUACCUAUUUUGCAUUAUUGUAUGGAUUGUUUAAACUACGUGUGACUUGGA